AGCGAACGCUGGCGGCAGGCUUAACACAUGCAAGUCGAGCGGGCACUUUCGGGUGUCAGCGGCGGACGGGUGAGUAACGCGUGGGAACGUGCCCUCUGGUUCGGAAUAACUCAGGGAAACUUGAGCUAAUACCGGAUACGCCCUUUUGGGGAAAGGCUUGCUGCCGGAGGAUCGGCCCGCGUCUGAUUAGCUAGUUGGUGAGGUGACGGCUCACCAAGGCGACGAUCAGUAGCUGGUCUGAGAGGAUGAUCAGCCACACUGGGACUGAGACACGGCCCAGACUCCUACGGGAGGCAGCAGUGGGGAAUAUUGGACAAUGGGCGCAAGCCUGAUCCAGCCAUGCCGCGUGAGUGAUGAAGGCCUUAGGGUUGUAAAGCUCUUUUAUCCGGGACGAUAAUGACGGUACCGGAGGAAUAAGCCCCGGCUAACUUCGUG
rnacentral:rRNA from 1 species